rnacentral:rRNA from 1 species
UCAGACGAUGCGUCAUGCAUAUCAAUAAGCGGAGGAAAAGAAACUAACAAGGAUUCCCCUAGUAACGGCGAGUGAAGCGGGAAGAGCUCAAAUUUGAAAUCUUAAAGGGUUUCCCUUUACGAAUUGUAGUUUAAAGAAGUGUUUUCUGUUGAGGUUUUGGUAAAAGUUCUUUGGAAUAGGACAUCAUAGAGGGUGAGAAUCCCGUAUUUGACCUUUACUUUCAACUUUGUGAUACACUUUCAAAGAGUCGGAUUGUUUGGGAAUGCAGUCCAAAAUGGGUGGUAAAUUUCAUCUAGAGCUAAAUAUUGGCGAGAGACCGAUAGCGAACAAGUACCGUGAGGGAAAGAUGAAAAGAACUUUGAAAAGAGAGUUAAACAGUACGUGAAAUUGUCAAAAGGGAAGCGUUUGACACCAGUGUUGUUUUUCUGAAAAUCAAUUAAAGAACUGUUUAUGCUAAGCUGUUUAGACUUUAUCAGCUAUCUGUUUAGUUUUGAGCUUUUCUUUAAUGCACUUUUCAGUUAACAAGUCAACAUCAAUUUCUUUUGCUGUAAAAAAGCUUGAGGAAGGUGGCUUGAGAUUCGUCUUAAGUGUUUAUAGCCUCUUGCCUAUGCAGUCGGAGAGAUUGAGGUCUGCAGCGUAGAUCCUUCGGGGCUAAAUGCAUUUGUGCUAAGUUAUAGCAUUUUAUAGACAACUUGUUGACUAUGAUUUGUCUUGUAGCUUACUCGCUUAUGUUAUUUUACCUACGCUUAGGAUGUUGACACACGCGCGUGCUCG